UCCCUGGUGGUCCAGUGGUUAGGACUCGGCACUUUCUCUGCCGAGGCUCAAGUUCAAUCCCUGGUUAGGGAA